rnacentral:rRNA from 1 species
ACGCCGCGUGAGGGAUGACGGCCUUCGGGUUGUAAACCUCUUUCAGCAGGGAAGAAGCGAAAGUGACGGUACCUGCAGAAGAAGCGCCGGCUAACUACGUGCCAGCAGCCGCGGUAAUACGUAGGGCGCAAGCGUUGUCCGGAAUUAUUGGGCGUAAAGAGCUCGUAGGCGGCUUGUCACGUCGGGUGUGAAAGCCCGGGGCUUAACCCCGGGUCUGCAUUCGAUACGGGCAGGCUAGAGUGUGGUAGGGGAGAUCGGAAUUCCUGGUGUAGCGGUGAAAUGCGCAGAUAUCAGGAGGAACACCGGUGGCGAAGGCGGAUCUCUGGGCCAUUACUGACGCUGAGGAGCGAAAGCGUGGGGA